GGCCUCGUAGCUCAGUUGGUUAGAGCGUUGGUGUACUAAAGCCUUCCCCUUGCUAGCGUGGGUUCGAUUGCCACCGAGGCCA
rnacentral:tRNA from 1 species